GCAACGAAUAUUGGUUGAUAAUAAAAUACAGAUUUAGCGUACUAAAGGAGGGUUGUGAUUAAUCCAUUUGAUAUAAUAGAAUCCUAACUGUGUGAUUACAUUACUAUAUGAGCGACUAAAUUACUAGUUGAGUGAUGUUAGUGUUAUUUUGAAAGGUUAUUGCAGAUAACUUUACCCGCCCUCAAAAACAGACAAAAAAUGAACGAAUGAAGAAUAAUGAAAUUUACUACAGCAAUAUAUGCACUCGAUCUAAGAAAAACAUAUGCUAACAGAAAAUACUAACGUUGCCAUAGAAUUUUUACGUUACUUGCCAAUUUUGACGACAUAACUUAAGAUAGUUAAACCUACCUAUUGUAUCAAAACAUUCAACCGUACCAACCAGCAACCUAUAAACUACUGAGUAUUGUAAACAACGUAAAAUUACAAACGCAAUGCGCAACCCGUUGGCGCAACCUGUGGCGCAACCAGUAGGUACAUUUUGCGCCUUGCAUCCCAAAUCCCAAUUCCCAAUCAACAUCAAAGUCACACAGACAUCCAACAGACGUCUCUGUUUUGCAGCUGUUGACUGUUAUCAAUGAUAAGCGUCAUAAUAUAAUUUUUGGAUAAUAACAAUGCACAAAACUACUCUAAAUUGGUCUAAAAUAUUUUCAGAGGCUUAUACGUAUACCUCUCAAUAUUUAUUAUUUGCCGUGACUAUAAUUUUGGCAUCAAUUAUUUUUAUAUGGAUUUAUGAGAGGCCGCGGUUGUAUAAGCUUAUAUUCAAAAAGAGUAAACAGUCAGUAUUUAGCCCCCGUGAAAGUGAAGAUAUGCAGAAUGGAGAUGGAUAUUUAGCAACUAAAGACAUUUUUUAUCCAGAGAAACCGAUACUUGAUUGUUCCCAUGAGCUCGAUAAGUCCACUUAAACUCAUAAUAAGAAAAUUAAUCUCUUAAUUAAAAAAAAAUUCAAACCACAUAGUGUCAUUGCGCCAGUUCGCGUCCACUUAGUGCAGUUGGAAAGUUUGAAGGAGAAAAUAAAAAUGUUCCAGAACAAAUUUCAACGCAAAAUUUAUGUAACGUGUUCAUUAGGUACAUAGUCUAUUAUAAGAUUUACUUUCAAUUGUGUUGGAAAUAU